rnacentral:lncRNA from 1 species
AUGUCUCCCUUUAGUAAACUCUAUGAAAAACUGAAACAAGAGAUGAAAGUGAAAAAAUCUCUGCAAGAUGGAAAUGUAUCUCAACAAGCUGCAAAAGAAGAUGGUAAGAGAGUUCCACUAGAACCAAGUGCUCGGAUUUCAUCGUGGAGUUGUGCUAUUGAUCUGGGAAGCCUGAUGAAGGAAAAAGAAAUAGGCAGAAGUGAAAAUAUUGAAGAAUGUAAAAUAACAAUGAGGCCCGAAGCAGUCGGUUCAGAACUUAACCAGAGCUCAGCUGUAGGAAGUGCGACCAAGAAGAGUCUUACUAGAAGUCCUCGAACUCCUGUUUCAAAGAAGGGGUCGAGAGAUACUGGUAGAAGCCACUCACAGGAUCACAAGGAGAUAAGUACAGCAGAAGAAUCUAAAGGUACUGAAGUUACACCCAAACCCAGCAAGGAGAAUGAUGGAAAUGCAGUGUUUUUACUGAAUCAGUGCUCUAUAGAACGCUUGGGCUGUGCAGAUAGAAUACACAGCUCUGCAAUAGCAUUAGGUAAACUAGUACAAACAACUAACACGACAAAUGUUGCUGAAGUUGAUAAAUAUGUUCUGUCUACGCCAACACCCACAAGGAGGAGUCCUCGGUCUCCUUUCAUACCGCCUACCAAAGAAAUUAGUGGAAUGAAUCCUUUAAAUACCGAUACUCCAACAGCUCGACGACGUGUGUCGUUGAAACGGAAGUCUCUUUCAGAAAUUUCAGCUGAAUCUCAAAGGGAAGCUUCACUGUGCAGAAAUGAUAGCCUCAACCAACUGCCUUUGGCAGAAAAUAAAUGCUUGAAACAAAGACUAAGUAGUAAACAACAUACACCAAAAGCUGUAAAAGAAGAAGUGCUGAAAGAAACUUGUGAUCAGGCAAACUUUGGUAACUCGAAAGAGGGGCAUUCUGAAACUCCUGUCUCUCUUUCCAAUUCCAAGAGUUCCAGAAGAAGUAACAGGAGAAGCAAAGAAUUAUCAGACACAAGUGUCUGUUUGGAGACACUGGCUUCAGAAGAGUUAACAUCGGAACUGGCAUCUCCUGCUGGUCAGAAAUCUGAGUCUGGAAGAAAAAGAGGUGGGCGAAGGACCUCUGGACUGCUGAUGGAAAAAGCUUUGGAGACAAGUGCCAGACAAGAAGAUCAUGAUAAGACGACAGACAGAAAAGACAGUGGAGCUAAAGAAGAGCUGGCCUUGAAUGGGGAUCAUCAUAAACAGGAUUUGGAAGAUGCCAGUGUUAUAAGGCCUCAGAGAUUGUCAUCAAAGAGAAGGUCUUCUGGAAGUCCCGCUGUUCUGAAAGACAAUGAGGGUGUCUCGGAACUGAAGGUUUCUGGCCUGUUGCCUGGAGAAGACUCAGGUAAAGAUCUUUAA